AUGGAGCUGCCAGGCGUUGCUGCUUGUCUGUUUGGAUCAUCACAUAUCACCCACCAGCUGCUGCCAUGCCUCAGUGGUCUGCAAACACCCAUGUACUGCUGCUUUUCUGGACUCUUCAAGUGCUACGCGUUGCCCGGUCCACUGCCAGCCACGGUCCUCUCAGCAGCAGGCACCCGCACCAAAGAAAGAGAAAGAGCAAGAAUGAAAAUGCCACAGAAAAGAACUCAGAGGGACGGAUACAAUUGCUUUUCUUGCCCAACCAAAAAGGAGUCAGAAGAAAUGAGACUUUCUCAGAGUUUACCUACAUACAUACGUCUCCAUCUCGUUAGUCAAGAGGAUCUAUUCUGCAUCCCUGUUCAUUCUACCAUCUUUUGGAAAAUUUUGAGGUCAGUCUGUAAGGAUCAUUGCCAUAUAUACUCGAUGGUGAUGCUCAUUCUAUAUCUGGCUGACGUUAAAGCUGGUACAACUGGUUCUACAGGAUCUGUUGCUAAAACACUGAAUUAUGUCCUCACUGGCUGA
rnacentral:lncRNA from 1 species